UCGCUCCUACCGAUUUUGAGUGAUCCGGUGAACCUUCUGGACUGCGUGCGUUCGUCGCAUGCGGGAAGUUAAGUAAACCUUAUCACUUAGAGGAAGGAG
rnacentral:rRNA from 1 species